rnacentral:rRNA from 1 species
GAUGAACGCUAGCGACAGGCCUAACACAUGCAAGUCGAGGGGCAGCACAUGAGUAGCAAUACGAUGGUGGCGACCGGCGCACGGGUGAGUAACACGUAUGCAACCUGCCUUCUACUAUGGGAUAACCCGUUGAAAGACGGACUAAUACCGUAUAAUACAGGGACUCCGCAUGGAGAUAUUUGUUGAAGAUUUAUUGGUAGAAGAUGGGCAUGCGUAUGAUUAGAUAGUUGGUGAUGUAACGGCAUACCAAGUCAACGAUCAUUAGGGGUUCUGAGAGGAAGGUCCCCCACACUGGUACUGAGACACGGAACAGACUCCUACGGGAGGCAGCAGUGAGGAAUAUUGGUCAAUGGACGAGAGUCUGAACCAGCCAAGUCGCGUGAAGGAAGACGGUUCUAUGAAUUGUAAACUUCUUUUGUGCAGGAAUAAAGUGGGUUACGUGUAACCUUUUGUAUGUACUGUACGAAUAAGGAUCGGCUAACUCCGUGCCAGCCGCCGCCGUAAUAC